rnacentral:misc_RNA from 1 species
AACAUAUAUCAUUAUAUUAGAACAUUGUUUGAAGAACUACAAAUGAAAAAGACAAUGAUAUUAAUAGAAUCCUAUAAAUUGAAGGAACAAAGAAACCAAGUGUUUAUAUAUAAUUUGUAUAAGAAAUUGAAGCCAUGUGGUUAUGUCUAUUGGGAGCUAAGCAUAUAGAAACAAUCUAACUAACCAAAAAAAAAUUGGUGAAUCUUCCUAUAGGAGCAUCCCAUGACACCGUAAUAUAUCUCCUUAUCUUCUCUCUCUAUUCGCUUCACCUGUCACGUCAUACCCUCUUCCUCACCUUGUCUGUAUUUAUACUAAGUGCAUAGGAUACCCUUUUGGACGUGUGCCAUUAUUUGACAGUUGAAGGUGAUCUAGCUAGAAUUCCCUUAAGUCCACAUCAGGUGCACAUGCCAUUACUCUGCUUGCCCUGAGUAAAGCACAAGGAAGGGAUGGUGCCUGUACCUUAGCACUCCGACCAGAGAGCAGUUGAGCGCCAGAGGUAUCUAGCAGUUUCCUUCUUCUUUGUUUCUUUAACAAUUUUACAGAUCUACAGAGCAAGUACUACACUUUAUAUUAGAUACCCUUCACAGCAAAUUGCCCCCAGAUUUUGGGGUAUAUAUUCUCCUACUUUUGCCUUUUCAAUGCAGCCUGUUUUGUGGUGAUUU